UGCAGUUGAGCGCUGAAGGUUGGUACUUGUACCAACUGGAUGAGCAGCGAACGGGUGAGUAACGCGUGGGGAAUCUGCCUUUGAGCGGGGGACAACAUUUGGAAACGAAUGCUAAUACCGCAUAAAAACUUUAAACACAAGUUUUAAGUUUGAAAGAUGCAAUUGCAUCACUCAAAGAUGAUCCCGCGUUGUAUUAGCUAGUUGGUGAGGUAAAGGCUCACCAAGGCGAUGAUACAUAGCCGACCUGAGAGGGUGAUCGGCCACAUUGGGACUGAGACACGGCCCAAACUCCUACGGGAGGCAGCAGUAGGGAAUCUUCGGCAAUGGACGAAAGUCUGACCGAGCAACGCCGCGUGAGUGAAGAAGGUUUUCGGAUCGUAAAACUCUGUUGGUAGAGAAGAACGUUGGUGAGAGUGGAAAGCUCAUCAAGUGACGGUAACUACCCAGAAAGGGACGGCUAACUACGUGCCAGCAGCCGCGGUAAUACGUAGGUCCCGAGCGUUGUCCGGAUUUAUUGGGCGUAAAGCGAGCGCAGGUGGUUUAUUAAGUCUGGUGUAAAAGGCAGUGGCUCAACCAUUGUAUGCAUUGGAAACUGGUAGACUUGAGUGCAGGAGAGGAGAGUGGAAUUCCAUGUGUAGCGGUGAAAUGCGUAGAUAUAUGGAGGAACACCGGUGGCGAAAGCGGCUCUCUGGCCUGUAACUGACACUGAGGCUCGAAAGCGUGGGGA
rnacentral:rRNA from 1 species